CGCGGCCUAUCAGCUUGUUGGUGGGGUAGUGGCUUACCAAGGCUUUGACGGGUAGCCGGCCUGAGAGGGUGACCGGCCACAUUGGGACUGAGAUACGGCCCAGACUCCUACGGGAGGCAGCAGUGGGGAAUAUUGCACAAUGGGCGGAAGCCUGAUGCAGCAACGCCGCGUGCGGGAUGACGGCCUUCGGGUUGUAAACCGCUUUCGCCCGUGACGAAGCGUGAGUGACGGUAAUGGGUAAAGAAGCACCGGCUAACUACGUGCCAGCAGCCGCGGUGAUACGUAGGGUGCGAGCGUUGUCCGGAUUUAUUGGGCGUAAAGGGCUCGUAGGUGGUUGAUCGCGUCGGAAGUGUAAUCUUGGGGCUUAACCCUGAGCGUGCUUUCGAUACGGGUUGACUUGAGGAAGGUAGGGGAGAAUGGAAUUCCUGGUGGAGCGGUGGAAUGCGCAGAUAUCAGGAGGAACACCAGUGGCGAAGGCGGUUCUCUGGGCCUUUCCUGACGCUGAGGAGCGAAAGCGUGGGGAGCGAACAGGCUUAGAUACCCUGGUAGUCCACGCUGUAAACGGUGGGUACUAGGUGUGGGGUCCAUUCCACGGGUUCCGUGCCGUAGCUAACGCUUUAAGUACCCCGCCUGGGGAGUACGG
rnacentral:rRNA from 1 species